CCUGCAGCACCCAUCUAUCAGCAGGCUCUGGGCAGCAACACGGCUUUUCUUCUCUCCGCCAAGGUGGAAAAGAGCCAUCCAGAUGCCUCUGACAGAGUGAUUGCUGCCACCCCUGACAACCUGAGCUCAGUCCUUACUCAGAACACACACAGUGGAAAGAGAAGCUACUCCUGCAAAUUGGCCUCUAACCUCCAUAUAUGAGCCAUGGCAUAUGCUUCCCUUUAUACCCCAAAACAAAAACAAACAAACAAACAAACAAAUAAUGAAUUAAUAAAUAAAUGACUUUUAAUGGAGAUUAAACCACCUUUCCUAAGGUCUGUGACGUUGAAUUCUCCUCUGAGGACAGAUGAAGUGAUCUGAAAUUGUCGCAAGUGUGGCCAUGAGCAGCAGUGAAUUGUGGGUUUAAACCCUGACUCUUCAUCUUGUUGGCUGUGAAACCUUGGGACUAUUACUUAUUUUUUUGGGGGGACUAUUACUUAUAAUCUCCAAGCCCUACUCUUCUUAUCUGUAAUGCAUGACUGGUAAUAAUGGCACCAUGGGUUUUUAUUUAUUUUAUUACAUUUUAUUCAUUUA